UCGAGUGAUUCAAAGUUCCGCAGAUAGAUACGGAAAAGAUCUACAACUUGGCGUUGGUCUCAUCCUCAAAUUCGUUACGGAUUGUCCGUGGUGAAAGCCCUCUUCAAUACCUUCAUUUUGGCGGUGGUUUCACCUCGAUUGACCUCCUGAAACUGAAAUGGUUCACAGGUCAAGAUCUGGUCAGAUCUGAAUUUGUCGAAUUAAACCAGGAGCUUGGGAAUGAAUUUUUGAAUGAAACCAAUUGGGGGAUACUUAGUUGUGCCAUGGUGAUACCGAGAGAGGCAAUUGCUAAGUCGUGGCACUCUCAUACCUCUACUAGAUGCGAACAAUUCCGGAGAAGAAGAAGAAGUGGAAUCGGACGAGGAUUUUAUUUAUGUUGUUGGGAUUGUUAUAUUGAUGGAGUUGAAGAAGUCCAGGGACAAAUAAGCCAAGGCAAGCCAUCUAUUGAUCUCUGAUUGUGAUGUCUCCUUUUGAUGUCACUUCGGUUGCUACUCUUAGCCUCUUGAUCAUUUGUGUGUUUAUCUCCUUAUUGUUGUCAUGCAUGCUUGAUCUCAAGCAUGGUAAUCGUAGUGGUUCUACCUUAUGGUCGUCA